CAGGUUAUCUGAUGUCGGGAACCAGCAUUAAUUAUUUUCCAAUGUGCCAGGGACUGGCCUAAAUUUGUGCCCUUUGGGUACCAUGGUUUCCUUCUUUCCUAGAAACUUGUCAGGGGACAGCACUAAAUGCUGGCACAGGUCCAGGGAUUGCCACUGUGAGUAACUAUAUUCUAGAGAACUUCAACAGGGAAAGAAGGUAAUCCCCACAGGUUGGUCACCCCCAUCCUGCUGUGCUGGUUGUUUAACAGCUGUAACAACAUCCCCCAAGAUUGACAGCUGCCGGUGGAACAGAGGUGCAGAGAUGUGCAUGCUGAGUAUUGUGCUCUAUAUGGUCUAUGACAAGUUAAGACACCCCUACCCUCCAAAAGUUCCCAUGGUUCAAGAGAUUCUGCACAGAGUGCCAAUGAGAGGAUCCAAAGUGUCUCCUUGUAUUUCUGAUGAUCCACCAUGUCCAAGAACAACUGAAUAGGGAGAUCCAAAUAUUGAAGGGGGAAGAAUAGAAAAGUAAGAAAAUAAAAUAAUAAGAUAAAGUCAGUCCUUUUCAUUUGAGAAGGCUUUGCAAUGCUUAAAUAUUUCAGUACUUUCCCCUUUGCAUUAAAUGUUAUUUAUUGUUGCUGGCUUACCUCUGAUUUUAUGCUGUGCCUCUAUUUUAUUUUAGCAUUAUUUUUGCAUUUCCUAUUUAUUUUUAUGAUUUACUUUUUUUAAAAUAAACUUUCUGGAGAACCUUUGUUAUUUAUAUAACAUCUAGUUGUAUAAAUGUGCACCCACUCACACCCAUACUCUUGUGUCCUUUGUCUCCUAGGUCACAGAUACAAUUAUCUAUCAUAGUAAGCUGUACACUUGAUCUUAGCCAAAAGGCUUAGAAGCAAACAUCACAUGGUGGACACCAUUACUGGCAUCUCUGUUUACCCAUAUCAACCAAGCAGCCCAACUACCUGAUAACUGGCCUCAAGCCAUUUUAAUUCCUAUAUACAAAAAGGAAUCAUAGAAUAAUAGAGCUGGAAGAGACCGCAAGGGUCAUCCAGUCCAACCCCUUGCCAUGCAGAAAAUCCAAAUCAAAG